AAGAAUGAGACGAGAUCAAACAGAAUCUCCAGCUCCUUCAUGUACAUCUCUAAAUAGUGAGCAGUCACUGGAUCGUCCGAUACUGUUCAAAGAUGGAACUCAGAGUUUUCAUAGGAAUGAAAGACUAAGACCAGAUGAAGCAACAUCUCCAGCACCUUCUUCUACAUCUCUGAAAAGUGACCAGUCACUAGAUCGACCAAUACUGUUCAAAGAUGGUACACAGAUUAUUAUGAGGAAUAAAAGGCUGACACCAAAUAAAACAACAUCUCCAGCACCUUCUUGUACAUCUCUACAAAGUGACCAGUCACUGGAUCGGCCGAUACUGUUCAAAGAUGGCGCAAAGAGUUUAAGGCUGAAAUCAAAUAGCGCAACAUCUCCAGCAUCUUCAUGCACAUCUCUGAAAAGCGACCAGUCACUGGAUCGACCAAUAUUGUUCAGAGAUGGAACACCAAUUUUCCUGAGUAAAGAAAGGUAUU